UGGGGAAUAUUGCACAAUGGGCGCAAGCCUGAUGCAGCCAUGCCGCGUGUGUGAAGAAGGCCUUCGGGUUGUAAAGCACUUUCAGCGAGGAGGAAGGUGGUGGACUUAAUACGUUCAUCAAUUGACGUUACUCGCAGAAGAAGCACCGGCUAACUCCGUGCCAGCAGCCGCGGUAAUACGGAGGGCGCAAGCGUUAAUCGGAAUUACUGGGCGUAAAGCGCACGCAGGCGGUUUGUUAAGUCAGAUGUGAAAUCCCCGGGCUCAACCUGGGAACUGCAUUUGAAACUGGCAAGCUAGAGUCUCGUAGAGGGGGGUAGAAUUCCAGGUGUAGCGGUGAAAUGCGUAGAGAUCUGGAGGAAUACCGGUGGCGAAGGCGGCCCCCUGGACGAAGACUGACGCUCAGGUGCGAAAGCGUGGGGAGCAAACAGGAUUAGAUACCCUGGUAGUCCACGCUGUAAACGAUGUCGAUUUUGGAGGUUGUGCCCUUGAGGCGUGGNUUCCGAGCUAACGCGUUAAAUCGACCGCCU
rnacentral:rRNA from 1 species